rnacentral:sRNA from 1 species
GCCGGGCAUGGUGGUGCAUGCCUGUAGUCCCAGCUACUUGGGAGGCUGAGACAGGAGAAUCACUUGAACUCAGGAGGCAGAGGUUGCAGUGAGAUGAGAUCAUGCCACUGCACUCCAGCCUGGGUGAUAGAGUGAGACUCCAUCUCAA